GACGAACGCUGGCGGCGUGCUUAACACAUGCAAGUCGAGCGGAAAGGCCCUUUCGGGGGUCCUCGAGCGGCGAACGGGUGCGUAACACGUGAGUAAUCUGCCCUUCACUUGGGGAUAACCUCCGGAAACGGUGGCUAAUACCCGAUACGACCAUUCCUCGCAUGAGGUGGUGGUGGAAAGUUUUUCGGUGGGGGAUGUGCUCGCGGCCUAUCAGCUUGUUGGUGGGGUAAUGGCCUACCAAGGCUUCGACGGGUAGCCGGCCUGGGAGGGUGACCGGCCACACUGGGACUGAGACACGGCCCAGACUCCUACGGGAGGCAGCAGUGGGGAAUAUUGGACAAUGGGCGGAAGCCUGAUCCAGCAACGCCGCGUGAGGGAUGACGGCCUUCGGGUUGUAAACCUCUUUCACCUGUGACGAAGCGAAAGUGACGGUAGCAGGAGAAGAAGCACCGGCCAACUACGUG
rnacentral:rRNA from 1 species